AAUAUAUAUAAGCCAAAUAAUUGAUUGCAUGACAUGAAGGCUUAUAUAAUUUCAAAUGAAAGGGGGAGCUUUAACUUCAGAAUUUACUGUUUCACACCUUUCAGUUUUGGAUAAAUUAAAUGACUAGACACUUGAAUUCAUUUUAAAACUUUACGAUAAAUCUCCUUUUUGGUUGAGCAAUUCACUUUACAAAUACUCAAUGUUUUGUCAUCAUCAAAAAGGGGGAGAUUGUGGAGUGAUUGAUUAUAACCCUAUUUGAUUUUGAUGAGCUCAAAGCAUUUGAGUAUAUCUUAUGUUAUACUAAUGAAUUCAAUCUAGUGUUUCAGUCAAAUAUUUGUAAAUUUAUGUUUAAG
rnacentral:lncRNA from 1 species